rnacentral:tRNA from 1 species
GGCGACGUCGCCAAGUGGUAAGGCAAGGGUCUGCAAAACCUUUAUCACGGGUUCGAAUCCCGUCGUCGCCU